rnacentral:rRNA from 1 species
AGUGAACGCUGGCGGUAGGCCUAACACAUGCAAGUCGAACGGCAGCACAGUAAGAGCUUGCUCUUACGGGUGGCGAGUGGCGGACGGGUGAGGAAUACAUCGGAAUCUACUUUUUCGUGGGGGAUAACGUAGGGAAACUUACGCUAAUACCGCAUACGACCUACGGGUGAAAGCAGGGGAUCUUCGGACCUUGCGCGAUUGAAUGAGCCGAUGUCGGAUUAGCUAGUUGGCGGGGUAAAGGCCCACCAAGGCGACGAUCCGUAGCUGGUCUGAGAGGAUGAUCAGCCACACUGGAGCUGGGACACGGUCCAGACUCCUACGGGAGGCAGCAGUGGGGAAUAUUGGACAAUGGGCGCAAGCCUGAUCCAGCCAUACCGCGUGGGUGAAGAAGGCCUUCGGGUUGUAAAGCCCUUUUGUUGGGAAAGAAAAGCAGCAGGUUAAUACCCCGCUGUUCUGACGGUACCCAAAGAAUAAGCACCGGCUAACUUCGUG